rnacentral:rRNA from 1 species
ACGAGUGGCGGACGGGUGAGUAAUGCGUAGGAAUCUGCCCUUUAGCGGGGGACAACUUAGGGAAACUUAAGCUAAUACCGCAUAAUAUCUUAGGAUCAAAGCUGGCGAAAGCUGGCGCUAAAGGAUGAGCCUACGUCGGAUUAGCUAGUUGGUGGGGUAAAGGCCUACCAAGGCGACGAUCCGUAGCUGUUCUGAGAGGAAGAUCAGCCACACUGGGACUGAGACACGGCCCAGACUCC